UACGGAGGGGACUAGCGUUGUUCGGAAUUACUGGGCGUAAAGCGCACGUAGGCGGAUUUGUAAGUCAGGGGUGAAAUCCCGGGGCUCAACCUCGGAACUGCCUUUGAUACAGCACGUCUUGAGUCCGGAAGAGGUGGGUGGAAUUCCUAGUGUAGAGGUGAAAUUCGUAGAUAUUAGGAAGAACACCGGUGGCGAAGGCGGCCCACUGGUCCGGUACUGACGCUGAGGUGCGAAAGCGUGGGGAGCAAACAGG
rnacentral:rRNA from 1 species